UACGAAGGGGCUAGCGUUGCUCGGAAUCACUGGCGUAAAGCGCACGUAGGCGGAUUGCUAAGUCAGGGGUGAAUCCUGGAGCUCAACUCCAGAACUGCCUUUGAUACUGGCGAUCUCGAGUCCGGGAGAGGUGAGUGGAACUGCGAGUGUAGAGGUGAAAUCGUAGAUAUUCGCAAGAACACCAGUGGCGAAGGCGGCUCACUGGCCCGGUACUGACGCUGAGGUGCGAAAGCGUGGGAGC
rnacentral:rRNA from 1 species